AAUUCAUCGGCUUUUUCAGAUACCAAAACGGCGUCGUUCGAGCACCGCUCGUAUUCGUCGUCCGACAUAAACAACGGCAUCGCUCACUUUUGUUUUUUACUUUUCAUCAAUCUGUGAAAUCAAAUGUACUAUGUUAAUGCCCUAAUUUUUUAAAACUGCUAUAAUAAUAGUCUACAAUUUUUGCAGCGGAAAACCCUAGAAGAACAACCACGGGAGCAUACUGGGAUGGAAAACUUACCAACGAUGGAGGAUCAGUUUUGAAACGCACGGCUAGGGCAAAAUUGAAACGACAAAGGGAGUUUCUCCACGCUCCUCACCGAAGCAGUUUUCUGGUUUGUGAUGUUUUCUUUUUCCUGGCUUUUAUAUUGGUCGUGUUACCCUUGCCUCGUA
rnacentral:lncRNA from 1 species